rnacentral:rRNA from 1 species
CACCUUUUAGGUGUGUAUAAAGUGGCGAACGGCUGAGUAACACGUGGGCAACCUGCCCUCCUCUUGGGGAUAGCCUCGGGAAACCGAGGAUAAUACCCGAUACUUCAAUGUGGCCGCAUGGCGACAUUGAGAAAGCUUUUGCGGAGAAGGAUGGGCCCGCGGCCUGUUAGCUUGUUGGUGGGGUAGAGGCCUACCACGGCAAUGAUGGGUAGCUGGGUUGAGAGACCGACCAGCCAGAUUGGGACUGAGACACGGCCCAGACUCCUACGGGAGGCAGCAGUGGGGAAUCUUGCACAAUGGGCGAAAGCCUGAUGCAGCGACGCCGCGUGCGGGACGAAGGCCUUCGGGUUGUAAACCGCUUUCAGCAGGGACGAGGCGAUAAGUGACGGUACCUGCAGAAGAAGCCCCGGCUAACUACGUGCCAGCAGCCGCGGUAAUACGUAGGGGGCAAGCGUUAUCCGGAUUCAUUGGGCGUAAAGCGCUCGUAGGCGGUCUGUUAGGUCGGGAGUUAAAUCCGGAGGCUCAACCUCCGUUCGCUCCCGAUACCGGCAGACUUGAGUUUGGUAGGGGAAGGUGGAAUUCCUAGUGUAGCGGUGGAAUGCGCAGAUAUUAGGAAGAACACCAGUGGCGAAGGCGGCCUUCUGGGCCAUAACUGACGCUGAGGAGCGAAAGCUAGGGGAGCAAACAGGAUUAGAUACCCUGGUAGUCCUAGCUGUAAACGAUGGACACUAGGUGUGGGAGAAUACGUCUUCCGUGCCGCAGCUA